UGGGGAAUAUUGGGCAAUGGAGGCAACUCUGACCCAGCAACGCCGCGUGAGGGAAGAAGGUUUUCGGAUUGUAAACCUCUGUCCUAGGGGACGAAGAAAGUGACGGUACCCUAGGAGGAAGCCCCGGCUAACUACGUGCCAGCAGCCGCGGUAAUACGUAGGGGGCAAGCGUUGUACGGAAUUAGUGGGCGUAAAGGGUGCGUAGGCGGUAUGGUAAGUUAGAUGUGAAAUCCACGGGCUUAACUCGGGAGUUGCAUGUAUAACUGUCAGACUAGAGUGCAGGCGAGGAAAGCGGAAUUCCUAGUGUAGCGGUGAAAUGCGUAGAUAUUAGGAGGAACACCAGUGGCGAAGGCGGCUUUCUGGACUGUAACUGACGCUGAGGCACGAAAGCGUGGGGAGCGAACA
rnacentral:rRNA from 1 species